rnacentral:rRNA from 1 species
CUACAAAUGAAUUGACGGGACCCGCACAAGCAGCGGAGCGUGUGGUUUAAUUCGUUGCUACACGAAGAACCUUACCUGGGUUUGACAUAUAGGUUGUAGGGAACUGAAAAGGGACCGACCCUUCGGGAGCCUAUACAGGUGUUGCAUGGCUGUCGUCAGCUCGUGUCGUGAGAUGUUCGGUUAAGUCCGCUAACGAGCGCAACCCUCGUCGUAUGUUAUAUGUGUCAUACGAGACUGCCGGUAAAAAGCCGGAGGAAGGUGAGGAUGAUGUCAAGUCAGCAUGACCUUUAUAUCCAGGGCUACACACACGCUACAAUGGUCUGUACAAUGGGUAGCCAAGCCGCGAGGCGGAGCCAAUCCUGAAAGCAGGCCUCAGUUCAGAUUGCAGUCUGCAACUCGACUGCAUGAAGCCGGAGUUGCUAGUAAUCGCGGAUCAGCACGCCGCGGUGAAUACGUUCCCGGGCCUU